UGGGGAAUAUUGCACAAUGGGCGCAAGCCUGAUGCAGCCAUGCCGCGUGUGUGAAGAAGGCCUUCGGGUUGUAAAGCACUUUCGNGCGAGGAAGGAGGUGGUGACUUAAUACGUUCAUCAAUUGACGUUACUCGCAGAAGAAGCACCGGCUAACUCCGUGCCAGCAGCCGCGGUAAUACGGAGGGUGCAAGCGUUAAUCGGAAUUACUGGGCGUAAAGCGCACGCAGGCGGUUUGUUAAGUCAGAUGUGAAAUCCCCGGGCUCAACCUGGGAACUGCAUUUGAAACUGGCAAGCUAGAGUCUCGUAGAGGGGGGUAGAAUUCCAGGUGUAGCGAUGAAAGUGCGUAGAGAUCUGGAGGAAUACCGGUGGCGAAGGCGGCCCCCUGGACGAAGACUGACGCUCAGGUGCGAAAGC
rnacentral:rRNA from 1 species